ACUAGCUCCAAGAUCACCACCCCAUUGGGAAGAAACUGAAUCACGACCCCUAAAUGGUAGUCUUCCUCUGCAGAUACAGGGAUGUCACACACAUCCAAAUGGAAACAGGACCAAUGGUGACAACAUAAGAUCAUGCCGAGUUUCAUGGACGGAUCAAACUCAUACUGCCCAGGAACGGCUGCCACAGGAAAGAGUUUGCCCAUUGGACAGAUAAGGCAAAAGCAUCACUCCAGGGUGAAGUGUCACCAGUCUAUUAGUUGAAGAAGUGAAAUUUGGAUAUAAUUGCUGAGGAAGAGGUGCAACCACAGCUCCUUCAAGUUAGUGGUGGCCCAUUGCAAGAUAUGGCAGGAAAAAAAGAGCUCCUUUCUUUCUCUUUUCCAAAGUACAGUUUUGGUAAAAGGAUUGUGCAAGACAGCACAAAAGCCUGGGACAGGGUUAAGGGGAAAAAAAUCAAUGCAGUAGGAGUUCCUAAGCAUCCUGCCGAUGGAAGAGGAUGAGCUCGGAUGACAAUGUCUUGGAGCCAUCAAGUUCUGUUUCAACCAUCUGGAAGACGGAUUUACCUUUUCUGAGGAGAUUGUUGACUAAAGAAAAUAUCUGGUAUUCUCUCAAUAAUAGUAAAAAAAAUAAAAAAUAAAAGUUUACCACAUCAGAGCUAUUUGUAUUGAGUUCAUUUUUUCUACACUUAUAGAUUAGUUUUUUUUUUUUUUUUCUUUUAUCCCAGAUGUUAGU